rnacentral:rRNA from 1 species
UACGGAGGGAGCUAGCGUUGUUCGGAAUUACUGGGCGUAAAGCGCGCGUAGGCGGCUUUGUAAGUUAGAGGUGAAAGCCCGGGGCUCAACCCCGGAACUGCCUUUAAGACUGCAUCGCUUGAAUCCAGGAGAGGUGAGUGGAAUUCCGAGUGUAGAGGUGAAAUUCGUAGAUAUCGGAAGAACACCAGUGGCGAAGGCGGCUCACUGGACUGGUAUUGACGCUGAUGUGCGAAAGCGUGGGGAGCAAACAGG